GAUGAACGCUGACAGAAUGCUUAACACAUGCAAGUCGAUGGGGAAGUGGUGCUUGCCCCAUGGCAACCAUGGCGGACGGGUGAGUAACGCGUAAGGGACUUACCUGCAGGACUGGGAUAACAGGGGGAAACUCCUGACAAGACCGGAUAAUGUCAUGGAGCUGCAUGGCUUUAUGAUGAAAGGAGACGCCUGCGGAGAGCCUUGCGUCCUAUUAGCUAGUUGGUGAGGUAAUGGCUCACCAAGGCGAAGAUAGGUAGCCGGCCUGAGAGGGUGGACGGCCACAAGGGGACUGAGAUACGGCACUUACUCCUACGGGAGGCAGCAGUGGGGAAUAUUGGACAAUGGGGGCAACCCUGAUCCAGCAAUUCUGUGUGCACGAAGAAGGUUUUCGGAAUGUAAAGUGCUUUCAGCAGGGAAGAAGUAAGUGACGGUACCUGCAGAAGAAGCGACGGCUAAAUACGUG
rnacentral:rRNA from 1 species